rnacentral:rRNA from 1 species
UACGUAGGGUGCAAGCGUUGUCCGGAAUUAUUGGGCGUAAAGAGCUCGUAGGCGGUUUGUUGCGUCGGCUGUGAAAUCCCCGAGGCUCAACCUCGGGUCUGCAGUCGAUACGAGCAAACUAGAGUGUUGCAGGGGAGACUGGAAUUCCUGGUGUAGCGGUGAAAUGCGCAGAUAUCAGGAGGAACACCGGUGGCGAAGGCGGGUCU